ACCGCCGUCACACCAUGGAAGCCCGCUGUACCGGAAGUCGGUGAUGGAACCCGCAAGGGCCUAGCCGCCGAUGGUAUGACGUGGUGACUGGGGUG
rnacentral:rRNA from 1 species